AAUCCAUCAAUCCUCGUGGGAUCGACCCUUACUCACGUAAGGUAUUACUUGGUACGACCCGGUGCACUUGCCAGUAAGUUAGUCGGUUACAAAUACCGCAUCAUUUCUCUCUGUCGCUCUCUUCAAGGUCAACAACACCUAUUAUCGUCACCUCCCUUCGACGUCGAGUCUGAGCUGUUGGCAUCGCCGCCGCGAAGGACUACUCCGUCGUCGUCGCUGCUCGAUUUGUUAGUGUCCGUCUCUCUCUUUGAGUUUUCUCUCUGUCUGAGGAGAUCUUCCAUAUUGACAUCCCAGUAACUCAAGACCUCCAUGGUUUCUUUUUGGACUUUUCACUCAAUGGAUCUCUUCAUACCAUAAUAGUAGGUCACACAAACUUCAGUGUGUUAAGUUUUUGGUUUCUAUAAUUGUUAUGUAAUUGGAAUAAUUGUUGAUGGUUGAUUUCAGUGAAUCUGGGAUAAU